UAUUUAUACAAGGAUCUGAGACGCGAGUGGAAAAGACGUCUGUACAAAAAGACGUCCGUACGGACGGAUGCGUCCGUACGACGUUUAGAUUAACAACGGACUAAUCACGUCCUAAUGACGGUUCGCUAAUUUAGUCGGUUCGUAACAGCUUGCUCUCGCCGACCCUCUAUCGCAUGAUGACAAGGAAAAAAGCCGAUACAAAUCGAACACAUGUUCCACGGAUCCUCGGAACUAGCAUAGCAACGCACAAACACAUAAGCUACAAAUCGUUCUCCCCUGUUUCCUUCCGUUAGUGAGAGCAGAGGUCCUACUCUCUUUUUAUAACCUAACUAAAAAAGGCCACACGAGAACACCUGAACGGACCAACGCGAGAAAAGAAACCUCUCCCGUGUCGCCCUCUCCGCGGGCGACCCGGGAGCGCAGCGCCGCCACCUAGGGUUCCCUCCCUCGCCGCCGGCGACGAGAGUCACAGGGCAAAGCCCUUGUGGUGCUGGUGGCGGUGGGGAUCCCCUCUGUCGGUGUGAGGGUCGGUGUGUGGCGCCUCCUCUUUGCAUGGUCGGGCGUCGCACCAUCCAGUUCCCUCGCCCCUCCACAACGAGCUCGCCGGCUGGAUCCCAAGAUGUGGUGGCUCUGGUGAGUCUCUGGAGUGGGCGCUGGCCUUUGUGGCUGGUAUGCCCAGAUCCAAUCUGGGACGACGGCGGUUGGGUCGGGGCUGGACGGCGGUCCGACGGGACAGUGGUGGUGACACACUUCUAGCUGCGCACUGGCCAGGGCUUGGAUGCGCUUGGUGAUGUGGCAGUUUUGCCCUAGCCAUCUUCUUCCGUCAUGGUGUCUACUGUCGGAUGUCGAUCUCUUUGAUCUGGCCACUGACAAGUCAUGGUGUCUACUGUCGGAUGUCGAUCUCUUUGAUCUGGCCACUGACAAGUUUCGGUCUUCACCGUCAGAGAUGUAUAUGGAUUGACGCACGUCGCUCUUGAAUCUAGAUCAAAAAGGCUCCGGUCGCGCGCGCUCAUAUGAUCAGCCAAUACGGUUUCAAGAGGGUGUGGAGCGAAGCUUCGCUUUCUUAUUGGAGUCAUGAGACAUGUCUAAGUCAAGAUUCCUAGGGCAUUGAUAGAGGUGGAGGAAGUCAUGGCAGCUGUGAUUGGAGGUCUUGAAGCGUUGGCGGAAAGGUGUAGCGGAUGCGAUGAAGACAGUGUGCUAGGUGUUUGGUGACUUGCAACAGCGGCCUCGGCAAGCGGGGGCGACAAUACUGGAGGUCUACAAUUUUGGUGGUGCUCCUCGAGUAUCGAUUCUUGAUUCCGAGGAUGAAAACUCAAGGUUAAGUAACCUCUCCUGUUGGCUACUAGAACUUGAAGUAAACCUUGAGGGUUGGAGUUCAAACCUCUUGUAGCGUACAUUUUGUAAGAUUAAAAGGAAAAGGGGGAAAAGUACGUUGGUACGUGCACAAGCCGCGUAUCUAUUCGGCUGACGUAUUUAUGAAUCCAUCAGUGUUUAACAUGGCAUUCACUAAGUAUGCGUCCUUUUCUCUCAACAAAUCCGUUUGAUUGGACUAA